rnacentral:rRNA from 1 species
UACGUAGGGUGCGAGCGUUAAUCGGAAUUACUGGGCGUAAAGCGUGCGCAGGCGGUUUUGUAAGCCAGAUGUGAAAUCCCCCGGGCUUUAACCUGGGAAUGGCAUUUGGGGACUGCAAGGCUGGAGUUCGGCAGAGGAGACUGGAAUUCCCGGUGUAGCAGUGAAAUGCGUAGAUAUCAAGUGGAACACCAGUGGCGAAGGCGAGUCUCUGGACAUUUCCUGACGCUGAGGCACGAAAGCCAGGGGAGCAAACGGGG